rnacentral:lncRNA from 1 species
CAAGCCCCUGCUCUUUUAAGCACCGUCUUAUCAACGGCUUGGUCGAUUGUAAGUGUUCGGUGCAGAGACUGUAGACUUGAGACAAUGACAUGGAGGUAAGUAUGUAUAAGAACAACGUUUUCAAGCAUAUAGGCAGAUUCGAGCUGGGGCUUUAGUCGGAAAAAUUUGUUAGCUUAAACAUACGGGAUUCACUGAAGCAUGACUGGAGCGAGCUCUCCUAAGCUCAGUCAGCGCCCACCCCCUCCUAAUGUAAAAUUCUGGAUCGGCCACUGAAUAUUGGUUUUAACAGUGCGAUGGAAGUCUUCAAAUGAAUAAAAAAAAAAAAUAAAAAAUAAUGAAAGUCUUUGUGCUGGUUAUUUACAUACGGGAACGA